UGAGAGAGAGAGAUAAAAUAUGGGCAUAAAGGUGGAAAAAGUGUAGCUUAAAAGAACAUACCUUUCAGUCCACAUGAAUAUCAUAGGGAAAAAAAUUUUUGAUAUUAGCAACCAGCACGCACCAAUUUAAGCCAAUCUUUUUCUGCGCUGUUUAACACAGAUAUAACAGUAAACAAAAAGCAUUUUUCUGCCGGCCAUUGUUUCAAUAUCAAGCAGCCUUAUGAACCAGCGGCACCGCUCUGCAAUUGCGUCAGCCACCAAAAAAAAAAAAAAAAAACNAAUGUGAUAUUUCAUAUCCACCAAGAUUUGGCCCUUACGUAUACAACUUAUGCACCAGAAGUACUUUGCUCGUCGUCCCAAUCAUAAAACGUCUCAUGCUGUAAGUUAUCUGAUCACAUCAACCCUGUCAUGCUUUCUCCCAAUCAAAUACCUAAGCCAACAAUGGGAACCACAGAUGGGAGCUGUUUAACAGCGACUGAGUCCUUGCUUUCCCUUGUACAGGAAUAGUUGCUGCUCUUACUUGAUCUAUCGUGCUUUCUCAACCGAGACUUCCCAGAGUCGAAGUCCUGACUCUUACUAAUACCUGGCAUCCUUUUUUUCCUACUUACAUCCUGCAACAUUAUCUGAUCUUCAAUAGUUAAUGAUAGUGCACUGGAAGACUGAUGUCUUGGUUGUUCAUUCAACUUUUCAAGCGGUGUGCCGCUAGGAGAUUUAACAGAUGACUUCUUGUUAACACCACUAGCAACAGUCUUGGAUUUGUUGACCAGAUGAUGAAGCCACAAUACUAGUUCAAGAAUAUAGGCUUCUGUUGUCUCCUUGUUUGCAUGGUGGAGUGUCUCAAUCCGAAUUAUAUCAGCUGCACUGGCAGCAGGCUUCCGAUUUACCUCAGACCCAGUAUUUGCCCACUCUCCAACCCAACCAAAACCAUGAUGAGCUUUUGCUGUGUUAGUGGACAUCGGAACCAGCCACUGCAGAGUCUUUUCCAUCUCAUCUUUGAUUUCUGCAAUGGUGAGCUCCUCUUUAACUUGAAAAGAUUGUAAUUUGGAACGUAGAGCUGAUUUUAUGCUGGGUGGCAAGUUCAGGUAUAAUGAAUCCCUUGUAUUAGGAGGCAUAGAACUUGAUCGUGCCACAAGGGUAUCGAUUUGCAUAAUUAUAUUUGCAUAAUGCAAAGAAAGGCCAGCAGGUCCCAAUCUCUGGUGAUUGUUCUUAGAUACUUUUAUUGGACCAUUAGCAUCUUCACUACCAAAGAUGUUAUGAAUCUCCAAAAGUAAAAAGUGGACAAUAUCUACAAGCUUCCCCAUUACCUCUUCCAAACUUCUGGACCAGAGUGACUUUUUCCUCAAGUUUCGAACUUGUUUUCUUUGGCUUUUGAACUCUGCUCUUAAGGUCGCAAGGCUNNNNCCUUUUUGACCAGCACCUACAUUAUCAUCUUGGCGUUUACGCUGAUAUUCUUGCUCAAUUUUGUCCAAAACUUGCAAUUCAUGGUAAAGCUCAGCUGUAUGCUGAACUAAGGUCAUCAGAAGGUCUAUUACAGAAUCUGCCUCUUCCUGCAAUUGCUUUUGAGGAGUAAGAUCUCUGCUAAUUUUCUCAAAAUAACGGUCCAAGCUAUGCCAUUGAGUAUCUUUACAUCGAUUUCCAAAACGAACAACUUCUCCAGAGAAAAUUUUCAACUCCUCCCUCUUGUCAGCUGCAACAAUCUUCAAGAGUUCACCCAUAUCAUUUGAUAUUAGAUUUUGCACUCCUUCUGAAGGAAGCACUACUUCUUUCAAAUGUCUUAUAUUUCUUUUUGAAAGGGAAUGCAUAAGGCUGGAACCCUUAACAAUUGUGUUUGCCACCUCAAAAGCUAAUAUUGCAAGUUCAUUUCCUUUUGUUGCCACACCAGAUGCGAAUCCACUGUUGGGGUUUAAAUUUGUCAUGCUACUCCCAAGUGUGUCCAAGACCUCCACUGCUUUGCCUAUUCCAAGAGAGCCCAAACGUGAACUAACCUCUGAAACCUUGGCAACCGCAGACUGCCCAGACCGCAAGGAUCUUGACCUGAGAGAUGGAUAGCGAGGAAUUCCAUCAUAAAAAUCAUCCAAGGAAAAGGUUUCCUCUGACUGCUUGGGCUUGCGGUCUUGAGACCGCUUAUCCAUGCUUUCCCGAGCCAGAACCUCCGGUGGCCCAUCCAAAAUACUGCCCUCCGCAUUUUGCUGGUAUUCUUGCAAUGGCUUGCUCUUGUUCUUGCUGUUGCUACUAUAAUAAUCAACAUCCCCAUUCAAAUUCCCACCAUAACCAUAAAGUCUGUUUUUGGCAUCCAAAUUCUUGGAGCAAAGCCCUCCCAUGUUUCCCUAACUAUCCCUGAUUCAGUUCUGGUCAACCCAAAAGCAACUGCGAUCUUGCGAUUUUUAUAACGUAUUCUUAUAUAUCUACAUAAAAGAAAUGGUUGAAACUUGAAAGCAAACAAAAAUUAUAGCUUAC
rnacentral:misc_RNA from 1 species